UAGUUGCUGUGAUGAAUCAUGAAGCUAUCACAUGUCAGACUUCAGAGGUUUUUUCUACUUGAAAAGAUCUAUGAGACAAACAUUCAUGUUUCUGAGCAGAAU